rnacentral:lncRNA from 12 species
CGAUCGCGGGGGGCGCCGGCCUGCCUUCCCGGCCGCGGCUGCGGAUCCAGGGGCUCCGCGGCGGGGCAGGGCCGUCCCGCUCCCUGGCCGCGCCGCGGAGGACGACGCGGAGGUCGGGCAGCGCCCCCCACGCGGACCCUGGCGGCCAGGGUCACCCCUCGCUGUGAGGGCGGCGCGGGGCCCCGGCCCGGACCCUCCCCGCCCCGGGGCGCGCUCGGCCGGCAGGGGGCCAGACCGGACGCGGCUGCUGCCGGGCUCCUCGGGCUCCUCGGGCUCCUCGGGCUCCUCGGGCUCCCGGGGUCCCCGGCCGUGGCUGCCAAGCUCCCCGAGCCCCGGCUCUGCGCUCCUGCCGCGGGGACGCGAGGCUGUGCCGGGGCAGGAUCGGUGGCCCCAGAUCAAAUGCCACCCUGCUCGGAGGGAAGCCUACAGGCCGGCGACCCCCUAGGGACAGCAAGUCCUGGGACCAGGCCGGCCAGCCUCGCUGGAGUCGACCUUCCUGUGCAACGUCACACCUCUUGAGGACAGCCAGGAGGACUCCAGCUUUUGCUGAGCUUCACAUCUUGCCUCCUUCCUUCCAUCUUACUCCAGACCCAAGUGUGGCGGUCCUCAAGGCCCUUGUGCCCCUGGCCAGGCGCUCCACUGCCCUUCCAGGCCAGCCCAGUUCUGGAGCUCACCUCCAGGACCUGGAGCCUGCCCUCCUGCCCAGAAUGACUCACCAUUAUUUCUCGCUCAAGUGA